rnacentral:rRNA from 1 species
CCUACGGGCGGCAGCAGUGAGGAAUAUUGGUCAAUGGACGAGAGUCUGAACCAGCCAAGUAGCGUGAAGGAUGACUGCCCUAUGGGUUGUAAACUUCUUUUAUAUGGGAAUAAAAUGUUCCACGUGUGGGAUUUUGUAUGUACCAUAUGAAUAAGGAUCGGCUAACUCCGUGCCAGCAGCCGCGGUAAUACGGAGGAUCCGAGCGUUAUCCGGAUUUAUUGGGUUUAAAGGGAGCGUAGGUGGAUUGUUAAGUCAGUUGUGAAAGUUUGCGGCUCAACCGUAAAAUUGCAGUUGAAACUGGCAGUCUUGAGUACAGUAGAGGUGGGCGGAAUUCGUGGUGUAGCGGUGAAAUGCUUAGAUAUCACGAAGAACUCCGAUUGCGAAGGCAGUUCACUGGACUGCAACUGACACUGAGGCUCGAAAGCGUGGGUAUCAAACAGGAUUAGAGACCCUUGUAGUC